ACGUGGGAAUGAGGCCAUGUUUGCAGUGCUAAAAGGAGCAGACAAAGAAUCCUGUCUUUGGUGUGGCACAGAAGAA
rnacentral:lncRNA from 1 species